UACGGAGACUGCAAGCGUUAUUCGGAUUCACUGGGCGUAAAGGGUGCGCAGGCGGCCAAGUGUGUGAGGCGUGAAAGCCCGAAGCUUAACUUCGGAAUUGCACCUCAAACUACAUGGCUAGAGCAUUGGAGAGGGUAGCGGAAUUCACGGUGUAGCAGUGAAAUGCGUAGAUAUCGUGAGGAACACCAGAGGCGAAGGCGGCUACCUGGACAAUUGCUGACGCUCAGGCACGAAAGCGUGGGGAGCAAAAGGG
rnacentral:rRNA from 1 species